AAGACUAUAGACCUGCGGAGUACCUGCGGAAGGAUCAUUACCGAGUUUACAACUCCCAAACCCAAUGUGAACGUUACCAAACUGUUGCCUCGGCGGGGUCACGCCCCGGGUGCGUCGCAGCCCCGGAACCAGGCGCCCGCCGGAGGAACCAACCAAACUCUUUCUGUAGUCCCCUCGCGGACGUUAUUUCUUACAGCUCUGAGCAAAAAUUCAAAAUGAAUCAAAACUUUCAACAAUGGA
rnacentral:misc_RNA from 1 species